CCUACGGGAGGCAGCAGUGAGGAAUAUUGGGCAAUGGACGAGAGUCUGAACCAGCCAAGUAGCGUGAAGGAUGAAUGCCUUAUGGGUUGUACACUUCUUUUAUAAAGGCAUAAAACGAGGUACGUGUGCCUUGUUGCAUGUACUUCAUGAAUAAGGAUCGGCUAACUGUGGUCCAGCAGCCGGGGUAAUAAGGAGGAACAGAGCUUUAUCCGGAUUGAGUGGGUUUAAAGGGAGCGUAGAUGGGUGGGUAAUUCAGUUGUGAAAGUUUGCGGAUCAACCGUAAAAUUGCAAUUGAUACUGGCAGUCUUGAGUACAGUUGAGGUAGGCGGAAUUCGUGGUGUAGCGGUGAAAUGCUUAGAUGUCACUAAGAACCCCGAUUGCGAAGGCAGCUUACUAAACUGUGACUGACAUUGAUGCUCGAAAGUGUGGGUAUCAAACAGGAUUAGAUACCCGUGUAGUC
rnacentral:rRNA from 1 species